UACGUAGGGUGCAAGCGUUAAUCGGAAUUACUGGGCGUAAAGCGUGCGCAGGCGGUUUUGUAAGUCUGUCGUGAAAUCCCCGGGCUCAACCUGGGAAUUGCGAUGGAGACUGCAAGGCUAGAAUCUGGCAGAGGGGGGGUAGAAUUCCACGUGUAGCAGUGAAAUGCGUAGAGAUGUGGAGGAACACCGAUGGCGAAGGCAGCCCCCUGGGUCAAGAUUGACGCUCAUGCACGAAAGCGUGGGGAGCAAACGAGGAU
rnacentral:rRNA from 1 species